CUAACAGUUGCAACAGGUCUCGUACUGCCGGAGCACCACCAGCUUCCCGUGAACACAUGUGUGCCGCGCUUACAUGUUUAUCGUGUAUUGUGUGCGUUUAUUGCGUGCUUAUCGUACGCGACAUUCGUCGACUGGGCAUUUUCCGCGUGUUGGGGCGUUCUCCUGCCUUGAUCCAGUGGCGGAUGAUGGUCGUUGUUCGUUGCCACUCAACACAGCCUCACGGGACGCACAGCUUUGUGUCCGCGCUCAAAAGUGCUUUCUUGCUUCGUUCAUCGAUUACUCACGUUGAUCGAGUGAUCGAGUGUACUUCCGAAGACAAUCCGCGUCCGAGUGUUUUGGCAAGCGGCGACCGCGGUUCCACAGGAGCGGAAGCUUGAGCCUUUUGACGAGCGACUGUGCCAAACUUGGGAACCGUCGUGUUGGCACAGCGAGGAUGAUCAACAGAUACCCGAUAGGCAGCGAUGAGAGCUGUUCAUGGCACCGACACAGAGGACAGAUUGCAGUACAAGAUAGGAACAUACUUCCUGCAAGCCCGGGCAAGCCAUAAUGAGUGGUUUCAAAUACAGCAACUGUACCACCACAACAGUGCAGCACAGGAGAGCCUAUCGUCAGUGCCGCGUCGAGAAAUUAAAUAAAAAAGCA